rnacentral:misc_RNA from 1 species
GUUGAACUGUGAUGGCUGGUGAAGACAGUGGUUGGACUUGGGUUGUGCGAGUGUGAAAUGGAGGGUUAAGUUUUGUAAAUUUUUUUAAAACAAUAAUCUAAAGGGAAAAUUGGAGGGAAGUUUUUACAGGAAGCUGCGGCUAGUUGCUCAAAGGCAGAUCAGAGAAGCUCUUAUACUAAAUUGAUGUAGAACAAAAAGAAAGAACUAAGAAAUCAAUGACUAAUCCUUGAAAAGAGAACUUAUUUUCAAUAAUUUUAUUUAAUCGCAAUAAUAAUCAUAAUCAAAGCUUUAGAAUAAUAGAAAA